AUCACAUAGGUAGAAAUACUAAAAAAAAUUAGAUAUUGUAAGAAUACAGUAUAUAACAAAAUAUGCUUUCAUUGCUUUCAUUAACUUCAUGUUGGUAAGGCUUAUGUGGUCAACAGUAGACUACUACUAGUUAAAUAUUUGGGGAGUCAGAAGUUAACAUGGGGAUUUUGAGCUAUGCAAGGGUCAACUAUCUAUAUCUUUAAUUAUGUUCUACAUCUGCCUGUAACUAAUAAACGUUAUAUGUGCUAUCUCAGUUUUGAAAAUCAGUAAGACUUAUUGGGAAGAAUGUAACAGCAGACAUAUGAGCCUUCAAGUUUUAGUUCCAACCAACACUGUUAGCCUUAUUUUCUCUAUUUGAACCUUUUAUGUCCACCAAUAUAACUAUAAUUUCCUUAAGGUCAAGAUUUCACUGUUUAUUCUCCACAGAGCUUAGCAAACAAGAUGUGCUUUAAUUCUUUGAGAAAUUGACAGAAGGACAUGAGAAAAGGAGAGAGAAACCUUUUGGAAAAAUUAAUGGUGGCUCUAAUUUCCUAGAAGAUCCAAUAAAGUUGAGGAUUUUAAUAAGUGGUUAAUAUCCAAAAUAUAUAAGGAGCUCAUACAACUCAACAGCCAGCAAACAGGAACAUAACCACAAUUUUAUUUGGCGUGGUAAUGUGCCCAUUAAAGGAUUACAUUUCAGCUAGGUGUGCAGUAUGACUCAGUCCUGUGGGAUUUCUACAAGUCUCCGUCAAAUGAAAUGUGGCCAAAUGACUAGAGUGCCAGCAGCCAUAUUGAGCCAUGAGGUGUACUUGAAACUGGAAGCCAGGAUUGAAAAUGACAGCGCAGAAAGGACUCUGUGACACCUCUGGGCCCCGCCCCCCGCCCGCCAGCGCACUCGCCU